UACGGAGGGUGCAAGCGUUAUCCGGAAUCACUGGGUUUAAAGGGUGCGUAGGCGGCGCUAUAAGUCAGAGGUGAAAGGCCACCGCUUAACGGUGGGACUGCCUUUGAUACUGAGUGCUUGAAUCAGGCUGAGGUCGGCGGAAUGUGACAUGUAGCGGUGAAAUGCUUAGAUAUGUCAUAGAACACCAAAUUGCGAAGGCAGCUGACUAGACCUUGAUUGACGCUGGAGGCAACGAAAAGCGUGGGGAGCGAACAGGAUUAGAUACCCCUGUAGUCC
rnacentral:rRNA from 1 species